UACGAGGGGGGCGAGCGUUGUUCGGAAUUAUUGGGCGUAAAGGGCGCGUAGGCGGUCGGAUAAGUCGGGGGUGAAAUCCUGGAGCUCAACUCCAGAACUGCCUUCGAUACUGGAAGACUUGAGUCCGGGAGAGGUGAGUGGAACUGCGAGUGUAGAGGUGAAAUUCGUAGAUAUUCGCAAGAACACCAGUGGCGAAGGCGGCUCACUGGCCCGGUACUGACGCUGAGGUGCGAAAGCGUGGGGAGCAAACAGG
rnacentral:rRNA from 1 species